rnacentral:rRNA from 1 species
ACUCCUACGGGAGGCAGCAGUGGGGAAUUUUGGACAAUGGGCGCAACCCUGAUCCAGCACUGCCGCGUGUGGAAGAAGGCCUUCCGGUUUAAAGCUCUUUUAUCUUGGAGGAAGGGCACUGGGUAAUACCUUGGGGAAUGACGUACCUGCAGAAAAAGACC